rnacentral:rRNA from 1 species
GGGACACGUGGUAUCCUGUCUGAAUAUGGGGGGACCAUCCUCCAAGGCUAAAUACUCCUGACUGACCGAUAGUGAACCAGUACCGUGAGGGAAAGGCGAAAAGAACCCCGGCGAGGGGAGUGAAAAAGAACCUGAAACCGUGUACGUACAAGCAGUGGGAGCACCUUCGGGUGUGACUGCGUACCUUUUGUAUAAUGGGUCAGCGACUUAUAUUCUGUAGCAAGGUUAACCGUAUAGGGGAGCCGCAGGGAAACCGAGUCUUAACUGGGCGUUAAGUUGCAGGGUAUAGACCCGAAACCCGGUGAUCUAGCCAUGGGCAGGUUGAAGGUUGGGUAACACUAACUGGAGGACCGAACCGACUAAUGUUGAAAAAUUAGCGGAUGACUUGUGGCUGGGGGUGAAAGGCCAAUCAAACCGGGAGAUAGCUGGUUCUCCCCGAAAGCUAUUUAGGUAGCGCCUCGUGAACUCAUCUUCGGGGGUAGAGCACUGUUUCGGCUAGGGGGUCAUCCCGACUUACCAACCCGAUGCAAACUACGAAUACCGAAGAAUGUUAUCACGGGAGACACACGGCGGGUGCUAACGUCCGUCGUGAAGAGGGAAACAACCCAGACCGCCAGCUAAGGUCCCAAAGUCAUGGUUAAGUGGGAAACGAUGUGGGAAGGCACAGACAGCCAGGAUGUUGGCUUAGAAGCAGCCAUCAUUUAAAGAAAGCGUAAUAGCUCACUGGUCGAGUCGGCCUGCGCGGAAGAUGUAACGGGGCUAAACCAUGCACCGAAGCUGCGGCAGCGACACUAUGUGUUGUUGGGUAGGGGAGCGUUCUGUAAGCCUGCGAAGGUGACCUGUGAGGGUUGCUGGAGGUAUCAGAAGUGCGAAUGCUGACAUAAGUAACGAUAAAGCGGGUGAAAAGCCCGCUCGCCGGAAGACCAAGGGUUCCUGUCCAACGUUAAUCGGGGCAGGGUGAGUCGACCCCUAAGGCGAGGCCGAAAGGCGUAGUCGAUGGGAAACAGGUUAAUAUUCCUGUACUUGGUGUUACUGCGAAGGGGGGACGGAGAAGGCUAUGUUAGCCGGGCGACGGUUGUCCCGGUUUAAGCAUGUAGGCUGGUUGUCCAGGCAAAUCCGGAUAAUCAAGGCUGAGGUGUGAUGACGAGGCACUACGGUGCUGAAGUAACAAAUGCCCUGCUUCCAGGAAAAGCCUCUAAGCAUCAGGUAACAUUAAAUCGUACCCCAAACCGACACAGGUGGUCAGGUAGAGAAUACCAAGGCGCUUGAGAGAACUCGGGUGAAGGAACUAGGCAAAAUGGUGCCGUAACUUCGGGAGAAGGCACGCUGGUGUGUAGGUGAAGUCCCUGCGGAUGGAGCUGAGACCAGUCGAAGAUACCAGCUGGCUGCAACUGUUUAUUAAAAACACAGCACUGUGCAAACACGAAAGUGGACGUAUACGGUGUGACGCCUGCCCGGUGCCGGAAGGUUAAUUGAUGGGGUUAUCCGUAAGGAGAAGCUCUUGAUCGAAGCCCCGGUAAACGGCGGCCGUAACUAUAACGGUCCUAAGGUAGCGAAAUUCCUUGUCGGGUAAGUUCCGACCUGCACGAAUGGCGUAAUGAUGGCCAGGCUGUCUCCACCCGAGACUCAGUGAAAUUGAACUCGCUGUGAAGAUGCAGUGUACCCGCGGCAAGACGGAAAGACCCCGUGAACCUUUACUAUAGCUUGACACUGAACAUUGAGCCUUGAUGUGUAGGAUAGGUGGGAGGCUUUGAAGCGUGGACGCCAGUCUGCGUGGAGCCAACCUUGAAAUACCACCCUUUAAUGUUUGAUGUUCUAACGUUGGCCCCUUAUCGGGGUUGCGGACAGUGUCUGGUGGGUAGUUUGACUGGGGCGGUCUCCUCCCAAAGCGUAACGGAGGAGCACGAAGGUUAGCUAAUCCUGGUCGGACAUCAGGAGGUUAGUGCAAUGGCAUAAGCUAGCUUGACUGCGAGCGUGACGGCGCGAGCAGGUGCGAAAGCAGGUCAUAGUGAUCCGGUGGUUCUGAAUGGAAGGGCCAUCGCUCAACGGAUAAAAGGUACUCCGGGGAUAACAGGCUGAUACCGCCCAAGAGUUCAUAUCGACGGCGGUGUUUGGCACCUCGAUGUCGGCUCAUCACAUCCUGGGGCUGAAGUAGGUCCCAAGGGUAUGGCUGUUCGCCAUUUAAAGUGGUACGCGAGCUGGGUUUAGAACGUCGUGAGACAGUUCGGUCCCUAUCUGCCGUGGGCGCUGGAGAAUUGAGGGGGGCUGCUCCUAGUACGAGAGGACCGGAGUGGACGCAUCACUGGUGUUCGGGUUGUCAUGCCAAUGGCACUGCCCGGUAGCUAAAUGCGGAAGAGAUAAGUGCUGAAAGCAUCUAAGCACGAAACUUGCCCCGAGAUGAGUUCUCCCUGAGACUU